AUUUAAAUAAUUUAAUUUAAAAAUUUUGAUUUGUGGAAUCAACUUUAUAGUUUUACUAUUUUAAAUA
rnacentral:tRNA from 1 species